GGUGGUCAAAACCUUUUUCCAUCAAAAGAAGAUCUUUGGUUUGACUUCAUAUUCUGGGAUGUUUGUAGGUACCUGGAAUGGAAACACAAAAGUAGCCAUAAAGACUCUUAAACCAGGCACAAUGUCCCCCGAAUCAUUCCUUGAGGAAGCGCAGAUCAUGAAGAAGCUGAAGCACGACAAGCUGGUCCAGCUCUAUGCAGUGGUGUCUGAGGAGCCCAUCUACAUCGUCACCGAGUAUAUGAACAAAGGAAGUUUACUGGAUUUCUUAAAAGAUGGAGAAGGAAGAGCUCUGAAAUUACCAAAUCUUGUGGACAUGGCAGCACAGGUGGCUGCAGGAAUGGCUUACAUCGAGCGCAUGAAUUAUAUCCAUAGAGAUCUGCGAUCAGCAAACAUUCUAGUGGGGAAUGGACUCAUAUGCAAGAUUGCUGACUUCGGAUUGGCCCGAUUGAUCGAAGACAAUGAGUACACAGCAAGACAAGGUGCAAAGUUCCCCAUCAAGUGGACGGCCCCCGAGGCAGCCCUGUACGGGAGGUUCACAAUCAAGUCUGACGUGUGGUCUUUUGGAAUCUUACUCACAGAGCUGGUCACCAAAGGAAGAGUGCCAUACCCAGGCAUGAACAACCGGGAGGUGCUGGAGCAGGUCGAGCGAGGCUACAGGAUGCCCUGCCCGCAGGACUGCCCCAUCUCUCUGCAUGAGCUCAUGAUCCACUGCUGGAAAAAGGACCCUGAAGAACGCCCCACUUUUGAGUACUUGCAGAGCUUCCUGGAAGACUACUUUACCGCGACAGAGCCCCAGUAC
rnacentral:sRNA from 1 species